rnacentral:misc_RNA from 1 species
AUUUUCAUAGGACGUCAAUUUACAAAUAUAGAUCUCUUAAAUCUAAAGGAACGAAUUUGCCGCCGUAAGGUUUAGACGUGUUUUGUAUCGCUCCUUAAAAAAAUAAUUCUUCCACGGACAAACUUGUACAUAAAUUCUCGCAAACUAUACAUUAUUUGGAUAAAUAUCACGUGUGCUUUCACUCGAUAAACACAAAACAAUAAAAACAAUAGUGGACGUGAAUAUUUUGAAGUGCUAAUUGGUUAUUUACUCGACUCGAUAAGCCGCCGACAUCGUCCAGCGAGCUGCGCGUGAGUCAUCAUCGCACACAACAUAGCAGCGACUGCCCCGUACCACGUUCUCGUCGCGCGAGCCGGACUCCCCUGUACUACGCUGCCGCCCGGCGAGUGUCGCCGCAUCGACUGCCCGGUACCACGUUUUCGCCGUGCUAGCGAUACAACGGUCGCUUUUGAUCGAGGUUUGGUGGUAGAGGGAUACACAAUGUCUUCUACGGCAAAAAAUCAUCUAUGUGCUGGCUGUCGUCAGGUGAUAAGCGGCCGAUUUAUCUGCUGCUCUGUCACUUCUUGCAAACAAAUGUACGAUCUAACAUGUGCCAAAGCUGCCAGUCUCACGACUAAUGAAUUAAAAGUAUGGAUCUGCCCAGAAUGCCGUGCAACGAGGAGAAAAACUGGAGACACCUCAACACCACUCCGCCCAUCAACGUACGCGGUUCCCGAGUCUGAAAAUGUUACAAUGAGGAAGAAGUCCUCGCUUAAACCCCAGGACACCCAGGAUGUCUCAAUCACGGAAUCUAUUAAAAAACUGACUGAUGAAAUUCGGGGUAUGCGGUCAGAUAUGGAUGUGUUUCGUACAGAGGUAACCACUCGUUUUGAAGACUUUUCAGCUAACCUGCUAGAAAAAGGGAACAGGAUUGAGAUUUUAGAGGAAAAGCAGGAAAUUCUAGAACGAAGGAAUUUAGAUCUCGAAAUCACAGUUCAGUCGCUUCAAGAGCGUAUUGCUUUGAUGUCCCAACAAUCCCUCAGAAAUGAAGCUGAGAUCCUGGGAAUCCAUGAAGUUGCUGGUGAGGAGCCUUUACACUUGGCUUUAGUUACCGCUUCAAAGAUAGGGCUGGAUUUGGAGGCAAGCGACAUCGAUGAGGCCACCCGCGUUGGCCCCAAACGUAAGUCCACGAAUCAAGCUUCUGAAGAGAACCGCCUUCCUCGUCCCAUAGUGGUCCGCUUUACUACAAAGGCCAAGCGAGAUAAAUUCAUAUCUGCUGCUAAAUCUAGAAGAACAGUGGAGAGCAAAGAUAUUGUUGAAAACGGACCUGUCCGCAAGAUUUACGUAAAUGAAAGACUGACAGCUGAGAAUCGGCAGUUGUUUCGUGCAGCGAGAGCACGAGCUCAGGAGAGCGGUUUUAAAUUCUGCUGGGUCAAAAAUGGUUCAAUUUACAUCAAAAAACACGAAAGAAGCUCGGCAUUACGAAUUACAUCUACAAACGACAUUAAUUGUUUGGGAGGGCCCGAGGCCGAUGUCGCGCGUGCAUCCAUGGGACCGUCAUACGCUGGACCCGUCAAUCACACUUAGGGGGGCACCGCUCAUGGGCCCUCUUCUGGUUAACAUACCUACAUUUAAUUUCGCCAUGUUAAGGCUUCUGUCGUUUUUAAUGUCGUUUAUAAUUAUAAUUUUAAUUCUACUUGUAACAGAUACGCCUAACGCUAAACUGUCUAACGCUAAAUUUCUCAAAUCUAAAUAUCCUUUUAAUGACGUCAAUUCCUGUCUCUACGAGUUAGUUAUAUUUCAAUGUAUGGCAGCAUUGAUCAAAACAAUACAAAAAUUAAUUUUUUGGAGCCGGUUACGGCCACCUUAGAGUUGCUUUCUGAAAUCGAUGAAUCUUUUAAUAUAUCAUGCCAUACUCUUGAUUUUCCUGAACAAUGUGAGAGACUGUUACCAACAAAUAGUAUCAAAGUACUGAAUAUAAAUAUAAGAAGUCUACAAAAAAACUUCAACGCAUUCCUAAUAGUAUUAGCGAGGCUUAACAUUAAUUUUGACGCAAUUGUAUUUGCAGAAUGCUGGCUUACUGAUAUAUCCGUAAUUCCCCAGAUAACCGGCUAUUUAUCGUUUCGUACAAGUAAGUUCAUUAAUAAGUGUGGUGGUGUAGUAAUGUACAUAAAGAGUUGUUGGUCGCCAGUUUUUACGGAAUUACCGCUUGAUGAAGCUAAUUGUGUGCUAGCUGACGUACCGAAUGUAUUCUCUAUUUUAGGUAUUGACGAGAAAGGUCCCCAGCUGUUCCACAUGGACCCCAGUGGUACGUUCGUGCAGUAUGAUGCCAAGGCCAUCGGUUC